GCAUAUUGGGAAUUAUUGUAGAGAUAAAGCCAAUAUCCAAAAAGGACAGGUUGGACAGGAAGAGGUACAUGGGGGGUGUGGAGGUGCAGGUCAGAGCCAAUGGCCAGGAUGAUUAGCAGGUUCUCCAACACAGUGACCAAGUACAUGACCAGGAAAAGCCCAAACAAAAGAGCCUGCUGCUCCUGGUGUUCAGAGAAGCCCAUGAGAAGAAAUUCAUAGAUGCAGGUCUGGUUUCUUCUGUCCAUGUCUCAAAUUCUGUGUGAAAUACAUUUUGUUAUAAGUAGCAAAAGAGUAAAAUAAUGCUGUGUUAAAAGUACUUCAAACUCCUGUUUGAAAAAAUUCUGUGGUUAAAUAAUUCUGUUUUGAGAAAGCUUGGAUUUAUUAUUGUGCAUGUUAAAAAGUUUGGGUCAGACCAUUUGUCAAGUUAUCGAUUGGUGUCAGUAUUUGAUAAGAUAUCUAAGGCUCCUUUGAACUAUUUCAGCUGUCCAUAUGAUACAUAUCAGCCACCAGUAAAAGUGUGCCUUGGAUUGUACAUGUCCUAUCUGUUUACACAAGUACUUUUCUCUUAGUAAUAAUAUAAUUAAGUAAAAAAUGUAAAAUACCAGAACAGUGUGUAUACGCAUAGUUACAGUUAAGUAAAAAUGAAACAGAAAUAUUUGUGUAUGAAUAAGAACACAAUCUAGAAGAACACACUCAAAAGAUGGAUAAUGUUUGCUUCUAGGGAGUGAGUGUGGGGGGAAGAAUGGUGGGUGUCAACUUCUGUAUGACACACACCAUUUCUUUUACUAGCAUGUGUUAUUUUUGAAAGUAAAAGAUUAUUUUUAAGUGUGAUGGAUGUGAUGGGUUGAACUAAUUUAAAUGGUGGUCCAGAAGCCAAUAUGGAGAUUUUGAGAGACCCAGAAUUCUGACAAGUUAACCAGGGUGUCAUCUCUAAAAAGCAGCUCUGGCAAGUAAGUAGAACAAAAAUCAAAUCAUUUGACUUUGUGCAAAGAAAAAAAAUUGAAGUUAUGGAGCAAGACUUUUUCAUCAUAGUCACUUUACUUAGAGUAAUAUUUUGGCUUUCCCUAAGAAAAGCUACAGGAAAUGCAUUGAAUUCUGCUCCAGUAUCCCCAAGCAUGCCUGGGAAUGACACAUGCUUUCCCUAACACCUCUGAUAUACCUCACUCGCAGGUACUCCUCACUCAUAAGAUAGGUGCUCCUCACUCACAGGUGCUUCUCACUCAUAGGAUAGGUGCUCCUCACUCACAGGUGCUUCUCCAGUCAGUUUGGCUUCUCCUGGCCCCUUGGAUUUAAAAACCUAAACUUUAGAUGGUCUAUUCCAGCUCCUGAACCCUUCCUUGCCUU
rnacentral:lncRNA from 10 species